UGUGGCAGGACAAGGGCAUGGAAGAUGCUGGUACGACUUGUUGAGUUGCUAUUUAUGCCUCCAUAACAUCUAUCCGGGAUCACAAGGUGAACACAGUCAACUGUAAAAAUUCUCUGCACAAUGCCCUGAAUGAAUUACACGAUGGCCCUGUAGCCUGGGUACCUGGAUGAAGGCUGAACCACUUUGGGCAAAGUCACUGUGUUUCCUCACUACCUUCUGUCUCAGGACUUCACGAGGACUGGCAGUUCCCAGCUUUGACCAGCUAGGUGAAGAACAGGAAAAGUUGCUCCUUUAUAUCCAGAAUAUCUGGAUGGGCAAGGAUGUAACAUGUAUCCUGAUGAAGACUCCCCUUUCCAAAAUGAAUCCUGGUUUUCCGCCUAGAUAAAGUUUUCUCCAGCCCCUGCAUCCUAUUAUGUGCCUUAGGCUGCCCGUGGGCUCCCAGCAGGCAAGGGAUGAAGAGCAGUGAAAUCCCCUCCUUGGAGAGAAAAAUCCAUCCAUCUGGUGGAAUCCCUGGACCAAGACCAAGGUCUCAUCUUAUCACGGAGCAACGAAAAGGCUUCUUCAGUCAGUGCUGGCUGCUUGCGUCCUGCUGCUGUAGAGCAGAUGGCUCUUGGUUGCAUCUCUGCCGCUGCCAGCUCAGAACUUCCCAGGUGGGUAUGGGAUGGAGCAGACCCCAGCCAGCAGAUAAAGCCUACCCCUGCAAAACACUCAGCCCUAUACAGGGCCAGAGAGGGUCACUGGAACUACUAUGGAGAUGAGGGUGUAACUGAAUAUGCUCUCUCUGCCCCCAAGGAGCAGCACACCAGAGCUGCAAGACAUAGGUUUGUCCCUCCUGACAUGUCAUUUCUACAAAGUAAAGCCCACAACAGGAAUGGGAGAGAAAAUUAAUAAAAAUGGGAAUGUUUGUGCUCAGAUAAUUUCAGAUAUUUCUGCUGUCAUAUGCUUUACCAGCUGGCCAAGCUGCGUCGCUCAAAAAUGGAAAAUAUUUCUAUUGACUGUAAAAAAAAUUACUCCCUUUUCCCACAGGCGUAUUUCCAGGCAUUGAUUUGUUAGGUUCUUUUUUCAGGUGAAAAGAUAGCCUUUACACAGAAGAAAGAGGAUGCUGAAGUGUGGCUGUUGUUUGUCCAUAAUGUGAGUCAUGUGUAACAGAAGGAUAUUUGGAGUUUAUUAUUAUUUUCUGUUGCAUUCAUUACUGCUUGAAACAGCCUUACGUGGGCCAGAGUGCUGCCUGGCACAGCCCUUCCUGGGGUUGCCCGGCACUGGCCUCCGAGCAGCAGCUGGGGCGGGGUUGUGAUCCCAGCUGGAUUCAGCCCAUGGGGUAUGGAUGAAGAGAGGUACAGCCAGCCCAGAGCCGGCCCCAUGAUGUGCCUGCUGGUGCAGGGGAUACUUGAAUUACACCCUUAAAGGAAAGCAGGUUGUGCCAUUUGAAGUGUAUGCAGCUAUUCUAUCAAGUUGUGAACGCCUGGCUAACAGGACUGCGCUUUCUUUGCAUGUGAUGCUGCGACUUAAUCAGUUGGAGGAUUUCGUUUAUAUGAGGGGAGGGGUGUGUUACAGCUCUAUUAGGCAAUUUUUUGUCAUUGCAUGUUUUCAGUCUGCCGUACAGUGCCAGUUGCUCUUGUAACACUCGCAAUGUAAGACAGUGUGGUUUUCUUACGGGACGGUGUAAUGAAUCACACGUGCUCCUUUUUGGACAGCCUUUUCCAGGGAAGGCUGGGUCCACCAGCCCAGUGAUGUGCAUUUAUGUGAGAUAAUCCUUCAUCUGUGAAAAAAAUACAUGAUAAAUAGUGAGGGAAAACAAGUGUGGGGGCGGUUCAUACCAGAGGUUGGCUCCUUGGGAAUUGGGUGGGCAAGCAGAGGUAGCAAAGCCAGGGAAGCCUCGGCUCUGGCUUCUCUAAUGACGCUGUAGCCGGCUGGUGCAUCUUGCCCAUUUUCUGCUGCCCAAAGGGACUGGGGAGCCUUUCCAGCCCUCUUCCCUGAGCACCCCAGGUGCUGGUGGCCACCCUGGCUGGCCCUCCCUGGACAUUUGUCCACAGA